GAUGAACGCUGGCGGCGUGCCUAAUACAUGCAAGUCGAGCGAACGGACGAGAAGCUUGCUUCUCUGAUGUUAGCGGCGGACGGGUGAGUAACACGUGGAUAACCUACCUAUAAGACUGGGAUAACUUCGGGAAACCGGAGCUAAUACCGGAUGAUAUUUUGAACCGCAUGGUUCAAAAGUGAAAGACGGUCUUGCUGUCACUUAUAGAUGGAUCCGCGCUGCAUUAGCUAGUUGGUAAGGUAACGGCUUACCAAGGCAACGAUGCAUAGCCGACCUGAGAGGGUGAUCGGCCACACUGGAACUGAGACACGGUCCAGACUCCUACGGGAGGCAGCAGUAGGGAAUCUUCCGCAAUGGGCGAAAGCCUGACGGAGCAACGCCGCGUGAGUGAUGAAGGUCUUGGGAUCGUAAAACUCUGUUAUUAGGGAAAAACAUAUGUGUAAGUAACUGUGCACAUCUUGACGGUACCUAAUCAGAAAGCCACGGCUAACUACGUG
rnacentral:rRNA from 1 species